UUCUUUCAGCUCUUGGCAAGCUCUACGUUCAUUUGCUUUACCAUAGUUAGUCGCAUAGUUACCACGAAAUGAGGAGUAUAUGUGCUCACAUAGAAAUUUGUCACUGCUUGUGGUUGCAUGGACGGGAACCUUUUUGGCAGAACUUGCUAAUAUCUGCUGCAUGGCUACAUGACUUCCCUAACCCGGCAAUGCAAGAGCAGCCGACUGUCUCAAUGACUCCACAUUCCCUCAGCAUUGCCCAUGCUGUAGGUUUAGCUUCACUGACACUCUGACUAGGCUCUACUGCUGCCUUCAGAAAUAUAAAGCCGCUGUGUUUCUUCAACAAUACUGUGCCUAUUUUGUUACUAUGCAACCACUCCGUCAGAAGGGAUGGAUGAGGGACUGCU